CGUGUAGGCGGUUGUCCAAGUUGGAUGUGAAAGCCUUGAGCUCAACUCAAGAAAUGCAUUCAGGACUGGAUGACUAGAGGACCGGAGAGGAUAGUGGAAUUCCCAGUGUAGUGGUGAAAUACGUAGAGAUUGGGAAGAACACCAGUGGCGAAGGCGGCUAUCUGGACGGUUUCUGACGCUAAGACGCGAAAGCGUGGGGAGCAAACA
rnacentral:rRNA from 1 species